UUGGGGCCCGGUGGUUGUUAAUGCAUGAGUGACUGCCUGCAUUGUGUGUUCCCAGAGAGGUCAGAGUCUUGUUGGUGGCUUAAGAAAGAAAGAAAGAGAGAGAGGAAGAAAGAGAGCCAGCACAAAGCCCAGAAUUGGACAGCUGACAUCCAGGAGGAAGGCUGCGUAAGAUGGUCCCGAAUAGCUGUCUGGGAUGGUGACUCUCUGCUGCCUGGCACCUAGUAGGUGCUUAAUAAAUGUCUGAAAAGGCUCAGUCAUGUUUCCUGCCAAAGAGAAGACCAAAAGAGGGAGAUUUUGUAACCAACAAAUAAUUGACCUUUUGAUAUCAAAGGUGAUUUGCUCAUGAAGAAAAUAGCAGUGCUAAUUUCAAAAUGAUGAAGAAACUGAGAUCCGCAAUGACUGUAAAGUUUGGAAGUAGAGGUGCCAAGAUGUAAGCUCCGUCCUUGGUCUUUUGUUUGCCUUACUGAGCCCUAAGUUCAGGUCAUCAGCUCAGGCUGCAUGACUCCCCUGCAAGAUCAUGAGCUACUUAAAAGCAAGGACCACGACUUCUCUUUGGCAAGGCCAGUUUCUGGCCCAGUGCAAUGGCACAUAAUAGCCCUAAAUAAACAUUUAAAGAGU
rnacentral:sRNA from 1 species